rnacentral:rRNA from 1 species
CCUACGGGUGGCAGCAGUGAGGAAUAUUGGUCAAUGGACGCAAGUCUGAACCAGCCAUGCCGCGUGCAGGAUGAAGGCUCUAUGAGUUGUAACCUGCUUUUGUACGAGGGUAAACCCCGAUACGUGUAUCGGGUUGAAAGUAUCGUACGAAUAAGCAUCGGCUAACUCCGUGCCAGCCGCCGCGGUAAUACGGAGGAUGCGAGCGUUCUCCGGAUUUUUUGGGGUUAAAGGGUGCGCAGGCGGUUUGAUAAGUUAGAGGUGAAAUGUCGGGGCUCAACCCCGAAACUGCCUCUAAUACUGUUGGACUAGAGAAUAGUUGCGGUAGGCGGAAUGUAUGGUGUAGCGGUGAAAUGCGUAGAGAUCAGACAGAACACCGAUGGCGAAGGCAGCUUACCAAACUAUAUCUGACGUUGAGGCACGAAAGCGUGGGUAGCAAACAGGAUUAGAUACCCGGGUAGUC